UACGUAGGGUGCGAGCGUUAAUCGGAAUUACUGGGCGUAAAGCGUGCGCAGGCGGUUUGUUAAGACAGAUGUGAAAUCCCCGGGCUUAACCUGGGGAACUGCAUUUGUGACUGGCAAGCUAGAGUAUGGCAGAGGGGGGUAGAAUUCCACGUGUAGCAGUGAAAUGCGUAGAGAUGUGGAGGAAUACCGAUGGCGAAGGCAGCCUCCUGGGCCAACACUGACGC
rnacentral:rRNA from 1 species